AACGAACGCUGGCGGCAGGCUUAACACAUGCAAGUCGAACGGGUGCAGCAAUGCAUCAGUGGCAGACGGGUGAGUAACACGUGGGAACCUUCCUAGGGGUACGGAACAACUCAGGGAAACUUGAGCUAAUACCGUAUACGUCCGUAAGGAGAAAGAUUCAUCGCCCCUAGACGGGCCCGCGUCGGAUUAGGUAGUUGGUGGGGUAACGGCCUACCAAGCCUACGAUCCGUAGCUGAUCGAGAGGAUGAUCAGCCACACUGGGACUGAGACACGGCCCAGACUCCUACGGGAGGCAGCAGUGGGGAAUCUUGGACAAUGGGCGCAAGCCUGAUCCAGCCAUGCCGCGUGAGUGAAGAA
rnacentral:rRNA from 1 species